GCAGUGGUGGUUCAAUGGUAGAAAUUUCACUUUCCAUGCUGGAGACCUGGGUUCGAUUCCUGGCCAAUGCA
rnacentral:tRNA from 1 species